GCCAGCUGUGAUCCUGGCAGCUCUCCCAGGCUUACCCUGCCUCGGGCUUGGUCCAUGCUUGGAUGGGAGACCUCAAAGGAAAACCCAGGAUAGGGUGGUU
rnacentral:rRNA from 1 species